UACGUAGGGUGCAAGCGUUGUCCGGAAUUAUUGGGCGUAAAGAGCUCGUAGGCGGUUUGUCGCGUCUGCUGUGAAACCCGAGGCUCAACCUCGGCCUGCAGUGGUACGGGCAGACUAGAGUGCGGUAGGGAGAUUGGAAUUCCUGGUGUAGCGGUGAAAUGCGCAGAUAUCAGGAGGAACACCGAUGGCGAAGGCAGGUCUCUGGGCCACUACUGACGCUGAGAAGCGAAAGCAUGGGGAGCGAACAGG
rnacentral:rRNA from 1 species